AUGCACGCUGGCGGCGUGCCUCAUCCCUGCAAGUCGCGCGCACGGACGAGAAGCUUGCUUCUCUGAUGUUAUCGGCGGACGGGUGAGUAACACGUGGAUAACCUACCUAUAAGACUGGGAUAACUUCGGGAAACCGGAGCUAAUACCGGAUAAUAUUUUGAACCGCAUGGUUCAAAAGUGAAAGACGGUCUUGCUGUCACUUAUAGAUGGAUCCGCGCUGCAUUAGCUAGUUGGUAAGGUAACGGCUUACCAAGGCAACGAUGCAUAGCCGACCUGAGAGGGUGCACGGCCACACGGGCACUGAACCCGGGUCAAACCUCCGACGGGGGGAAGCAGUAGGGAAUCUUCCGAAAGGGGGGAAAGCCUGACGGAGCAACGCGGCGGGAGGGAUGAAGGUCUUCGGAGCGUAGAACUCUUUUAUGAGGGAAGAAAAUAUGUGAAAGAAACUGUGCACAUCUUGAGGGUACCUAAUCAAAAAGCCCCGGCUAACUACGUG
rnacentral:rRNA from 1 species